UUCCGGUUGAUCCUGCCGGAGGCCAUUGCUAUUGGAGUUCGAUUUAGCCAUGCUAGUUGCACGAGUUUAGACUCGUGGCGGAAAGCUCAGUAACACGUGGUCAAACUACCCUAUAGACCAGGAUAACCUCGGGAAACUGAGGACAAUAGUGCAUACGGCUCGAUGCCUGGAACUGGCUCGAGCUCGAAACGCUACGGCGCGACAGGAUGUGACUGCGGCCGAUUAGGUAGACGGUGGGGUAACGGCCCACCGUGCCGAUAAUCGGUACGGGUUGUGAGAGCAAGAGCCUGGAGACGGAAUCUGAGACAAGAUUCCGGGCCCUACGGGGCGCAGCAGGCGCGAAACCUUUACACUGCACGACAGUGCGAUAAGGGGACUCCAAGUGCGAGGGCAUACAGUCCUCGCUUUUUCCUACCGUAAGAUGGUGGGCGAAUAAGUGCUGGGCAAGACCGGUGCCAGCCGCCGCGGUAAUACCGGCAGCACAAGUGAUGACCGCUAUUAUUGGGCCUAAAGCGUCCGUAGCUGGCCGAACAAGUCCGUCGGGAAAUCUGCUCGCCUAACGAGCAGGCGUCCGGCGGAAACUGUUCGGCUUGGGACCGGAAGACCUGAGGGGUACGUCCGGGGUAGGAGUGAAAUCCUGUAAUCCUGGACGGACCGCCGGUGGCGAAAGCGCCUCAGGAAGACGGAUCCGACGGUGAGGGACGAAAGCUAGGGUCACGAACCGGAUUAGAUACCCGGGUAGUCCUAGCCGUAAACGAUGUCUGCUAGGUGUGGCGCUGGCUACGAGCCAGCGCUGUGCCGUAGGGAAGCCGUGAAGCAGACCGCCUGGGAAGUACGUCCGCAAGGAUGAAACUUAAAGGAAUUGGCGGGGGAGCACUACAACCGGAGGAGCCUGCGGUUUAAUUGGAUUCAACGCCGGG
rnacentral:rRNA from 1 species